rnacentral:misc_RNA from 1 species
UUUUAGGGAGACCUACACCCCUUACAUAUCGAAAAGCAAACAGUUAAAUAGAUAGUAAGUUGGUCUAACCUAGGUCGGUCGCGGACAUUUGCAAUAUGUUCAACGCUUUCAAACUAUGAUGAAGGUUCGAUAUGGGCUAUUAGCUCAGUUGGUAGAGCGCCUGCUUUGCAAGCAGGAUGUCAGCAGUUCGAGUCCGCUAACCUCCACCUGUGGCGAUUGCCAUUGAUAAAAUUUUGUGAGAGUUCAGCAACAUGACUUAAUUGAAGUCAGACUGCUGAGUUUAUUCUCAGCCAGAACCUUGAAAACUGCAUAGUAACGCGAAAAUAGCAGGCAGACACAGAUAAUCUUUACGGAUGUUUUUGUGAAUGCAAAUUGUGAAACACCGAAUGAAUUGAGU